UGGGGAAUUUUGGACAAUGGGGGAAACCCUGAUCCAGCCAUCCCGCGUGUGCGAUGAAGGCCUUCGGGUUGUAAAGCACUUUUGGCAGGAAAGAAACGUCGCGGGUUAAUACCCCGCGAAACUGACGGUACCUGCAGAAUAAGCACCGGCUAACUACGUGCCAGCAGCCGCGGUAAUACGUAGGGUGCAAGCGUUAAUCGGAAUUACUGGGCGUAAAGCGUGCGCAGGCGGUUCGGAAAGAAAGAUGUGAAAUCCCAGAGCUUAACUUUGGAACUGCAUUUUUAACUACCGGGCUAGAGUGUGUCAGAGGGAGGUGGAAUUCCGCGUGUAGCAGUGAAAUGCGUAGAUAUGCGGAGGAACACCGAUGGCGAAGGCAGCCUCCUGGGAUAACACUGACGCUCAUGCACGAAAGCGUGGGGAGCAAACAGGAUUAGAUACCCUGGUAGUCCACGCCCUAAAACGAUGUCAACUAGCUGUUGGGGCCUUCGGCCUUGGUAGCGCAGCUAACGCGUGAAGUUGACCGCCUGGGGAGUACGGUC
rnacentral:rRNA from 1 species